rnacentral:rRNA from 1 species
UACAGAGGGUGCAAGCGUUGUUCGGAAUUAUUGGGCGUAAAGGGAGUGUAGGCGGCUAGGAAAGUCUUCUGUGAAAUCUACGGGCUCAGCCUGUAACGUGCAGAGGAAACUAUCUGGCUAGAGUGUCGGAGAGGAUAGGGGAAUACCCGGUGUAGAGGUGAAAUUCGUAGAGAUCGGGUGGAACACCAGUGGCGAAGGCGCCUGUCUGGCUGACAACUGACGCUGAGAUUCGAAAGCAUGGGGAGCAAACAGG